AUUGAACGCUGGCGGCAUGCUUUACACAUGCAAGUCGAACGGUAACAGGCCUUCGGGUGCUGACGAGUGGCGAACGGGUGCGUAAUGCAUCGGAACGUGCCCAGAGGUGGGGGAUAACGCAGCGAAAGCUGUGCUAAUACCGCAUGUGAUCUGAGGAUGAGAGCGGGGGACCAAGCAGCAAUGUUUGGCCUCGCGCCUCUGGAGCGGCCGAUGUCAGAUUAGGUAGUUGGUGGGGUAAAGGCCUACCAAGCCGACGAUCUGUAGCUGGUCUGAGAGGACGACCAGCCACACUGGAACUGAGACACGGCCCAGACUCCUACGGGAGGCAGCAGUGGGGAAUUUUGGACAAUGGGCGCAAGCCUGAUCCAGCAAUGCCGCGUGAGGGAAGAAGGCCUUCGGGUUGUAAACCGCUUUUGUACGGAACGAAAAGGCUCUGGCUAAUACCUGGGGCUGAUGACGGUACCGUAAGAAUAAGCACCGGCUAACUACGUG
rnacentral:rRNA from 1 species